UUUGUCAUUGAAGGGAUAGACAUCAUAAUGGAGAAUUCCAUUGAAUGUUUUUGUUUUGAAAUACUUUCUUACUCACCCUCAAUAGUACAUAGGAGACACAGGCUUGUACUGGAUUCCAUCCUUUUUUAUGUGUGAAUGAAUAACUAACGAGAGAGCCCCAUCAUGACCAAUGCAGGUCUGGCUGCCGUCCCGGUGCCCGUUCAACCCGGGGAUCUGACCCUCCAGCCGGGCGCUGCCAUCACGCUCACUUGCAGUCUGGCGUCCGACAUGUCGAGCUACACCAUGCUCUGGUACCGACAGCACGUCUACGGUGAUCCCAUCGAGUUCAUCAUCAAAGAAUACGACACCAGUCGGGGUCGCUUCAAAGCCACUCUGGACACAAACCAGAACCGCUUCUCGCUGGGAAUAAGCGAGUUGCAGGUGAACGACAGCGGGACGUUCUACUGCGCAGCCUAUCACCGCGACACGCCUGGGUGCAGCAGGCGUACACAUACCGUCGCUGGGCUACGUUCAUAGCGCUGUGGAGGAGCGGGUAUCACAGAUGUCGAGGGUGCCGUGAGACCUCGUGGUUUUGAUAGAAGUCGAGAUAGCCAACUGUCAGGCCGGCGGUUUGAUUGGUGAAUAUGCAAGCUAUGCAGGCGUUCUCAAAACAGUGCAGUUGUUAUCAUUAUUUAUUAUUGAAGGUUUAGUUACACAUGGACAGUGCAAAUUAAUAAACAUGAAAAAUUUACCAGAAUUAGCCAAAAUGGCUAUUUUGCAUCUGUUGUCCAUGGGCCGAUGUUAACAGGCCUAAAGGAACUAUAAACACAAGAACUAAUAUAACUAUACACACAUCGUACAGGCUGUGGUUGCGAUACGAACAUUAGCUCUUGACUCUAAGCAACAAGUGAGGAGGACAUCCCAUUGAAAAGCAAAGAAGACAUCAUAAUCAUCAGUGACUUGGCUGACGUCGUCACGUCACAAGACAAGAAAAAAGAAGAAGAAAACGGACAGACUUAGAACCUACAGGCCUACAACCAAAGAGAUAAAGAACAGGCCUUGAGAAUAUGGUGCCUGCGGCGUUAUGUCACGGCAGUCCCCUGGGAAGGUAGCUUAACCCCAGCAGGGGACAAGGCGCACCAUGAGGAUUAGGAUGACUCAAAUGAUGGCUCCACCACCGCUAGGCCACCAUGAGGGAAUGAACCCAGUGGUGGGGAGAUAAUGAGGUUACACUGUUACAAAAGGUCUGUGCUUUUCUGACAAUAAACUGUUAACAAUAUAAAAUGUGUUGGAUAGAUAGAUAGAUUUAUCUAUCUAUUUAAUUUUUUAUCUGCACUCCAGAAUAAAUGUACAAUCUCCACCAGGUCACCCUAAAACGCAGCAGAAUGAACAUCUACGAUAUUACAAUUUUUACUCUGCUCCACUUUUUCUUUAUUCUUCCUAUGCCUCUGUAGCUUCCUUGGGGCUAGGCCCCCCACUCAUAUACUUUAUCCUGGCAUUAUGUCCCCACAAGGAAGAAUUGCUGUUGGAAUAAUUAAUUCUGAAAUAUGAUACUGACAAGUAAGGUCCAAUUAGGUUAGGGUACAGGAGGUGUGAUAAGAUAAGCUUGCCAAGAAUGCCAAGAUAAAGUAUGUUGAGGGGAGGAUAAGAUCAGGAAGGUUAGGUGAUGAGGCAAGAAAGAAGACUGUGAGGAAGAUGAAGCACGGUCAAGAUUAAUUACAUUUUACGAUUUUUAGACUUGCUC